GUGGGGAAUCUUGCGCAAUGGGCGAAAGCCUGACGCAGCCAUGCCGCGUGAAUGAUGAAGGUCUUAGGAUUGUAAAAUUCUUUCACCGGGGACGAUAAUGACGGUACCCGGAGAAGAAGCCCCGGCUAACUUCGUGCCAGCAGCCGCGGUAAUACGAAGGGGGCUAGCGUUGCUCGGAAUUACUGGGCGUAAAGGGCGCGUAGGCGGACAGUUUAGUCAGAGGUGAAAGCCCAGGGCUCAACCUUGGAAUUGCCUUUGAUACUGGCUGUCUUGAGUACGGGAGAGGUGAGUGGAACUCCGAGUGUAGAGGUGAAAUUCGUAGAUAUUCGGAAGAACACCAGUGGCGAAGGCGACUCACUGGCCCGCUACUGACGCUGAGGCGCGAAAGCGUGGGGAGCAAACAGGAUUAGAAACCCUGGUAGUCC
rnacentral:rRNA from 1 species